GGGGGAUGGCUGGAUCCUGGGCUGUGUCCCCGGCGCCCUGGGCUCCCGGGCAUGUGCUGCUGGAAUCGCGCUCCCGGCCAUGCAGCCCCUU
rnacentral:pre_miRNA from 1 species